AACGAACGCUGGCGGCAGGCUUAACACAUGCAAGUCGAACGCCCCGCAAGGGGAGUGGCAGACGGGUGAGUAACGCGUGGGAAUCUACCCAUCCCUACGGAAUAACGCAUGGAAACGUGUGCUAAUACCGUAUACGCCCUACGGGGGAAAGAUUUAUCGGGGAUGGAUGAGCCCGCGUUGGAUUAGCUAGUUGGUGGGGUAAAGGCCUACCAGGGCGACGAUCCAUAGCUGGUCUGAGAGGAUGAUCAGCCACAUUGGGACUGAGACACGGCCCAAACUCCUACGGGAGGCAGCAGUGGGGAAUAUUGGACAAUGGGCGCAAGCCUGAUCCAGCCAUGCCGCGUGAGUGAUGAAGGCCUUAGGGUUGUAAAGCUCUUUCACCGGAGAAGAUAAUGACGGUAUCCGGAGAAGAAGCCCCGGCUAACUUCGUG
rnacentral:rRNA from 1 species